AGUGAACGCUGGCGGUAGGCCUAACACAUGCAAGUCGAACGGCAGCACAGUAAGAGCUUGCUCUUACGGGUGGCGAGUGGCGGACGGGUGAGGAAUACAUCGGAAUCUACUUUUUCGUGGGGGAUAACGUAGGGAAACUUACGCUAAUACCGCAUACGACCUACGGGUGAAAGCAGGGGAUCUUCGGACCUUGCGCGAUUGAAUGAGCCGAUGUCGGAUUAGCUAGUUGGCGGGGUAAAGGCCCACCAAGGCGACGAUCCGUAGCUGGUCUGAGAGGAUGAUCAGCCACACUGGAACUGGAACGCGGUCCAGACUCCUACGGGAGGCAGCAGUGGGGAAUAUUGGACAAUGGGCGCAAGCCUGAUCCAACCAUACCGCGUGGGUGAAGAAGGCCUUCGGGUUGUAAAGCCCUUUUGUUGGGAAAGAAAAGCAGCAGGUUAAUACCCCGCUGUUCUGACGGUACCCAAAGAAUAAGCACCGGCUAACUUCGUG
rnacentral:rRNA from 1 species